rnacentral:rRNA from 1 species
UACGUAGGGUGCAAGCGUUUGUCCGGAAUUAUUGGGCGUAAAGAGCUCGUAGGCGGUCUGUCGCGUCGGAUGUGAAAAUCCAGGGCUUAACCCUGGACCUGCAUUCGAUACGGGCAGACUAGAGUUCGGUAGGGGAGACUGGAAUUCCUGGUGUAGCGGUGAAAUGCGCAGAUAUCAGGAGGAACACCGGUGGCGAAGGCGGAUCUCUGGGCCGGUACUGACGCUGAGGAGCGAAAGCGUGGGGAGCGAACAGG